rnacentral:misc_RNA from 1 species
GAUGAAGAACGUAGCGAAAUGCGAUAAGUAAUGCGAAUUGCAGAAUUUCCGUGAGUCAUCGAAUCUUUGAACGCACAUUGCGCCCGCCAGCAUUCUGGCGGGCAUGCCUGUCCGAGCGUCAUUUCAACCCUCAGGGUCCCUCCGCCUCGCGCGGUCGGAGCCUGGUGUUGGGGAUCGGCCCGCCCCGCGCGGCGCCGUCCCCCAAAUACAGUGGCGGUCCCGCCGCAGCCUCCCCUGCGCAGUAGUUAUCAACUCGCACUGGAGCGCGGCGCGGCCACGCCGUAAAACCCCCGACUUUUAGAAAGUUGACCUCGGAUCAGGUAGGAAUACCCGCUGAACUUAAGAAUAUCAAUAAGCGGAGGA